UUUCAUCUUCUCCCGCCCCUCUCCUAUACACAUCGAUUACCAGCAACAAAUUCAACCAAACUACUGCACUUGCAAGGUUCGGAUUUGAGGGUUUCUAUUUGAAAACACUUCCGAUUUGUAAACAUUGGCGAUGAUACGGCUUCGGUCACACACAAAAACACACACUUGCUCGGUCCAAUCUACUCAUCAUCAGUCAUCGCAAGUAAUCGAGAGAUCCAAACACUUCGAAUAAGAUCCACACUUGUCGCAUUUCUAUUUCACCUGCCGCGGACCUUGAAUAUGUUCUGAAUUCCGUGAAGAAAGGUGACGAGCUUGAACUUUCGGAAGCUAUUAGAGAUUAUCAUGAUAGUACUGGAUUGCCUCAUAUGGUGUAAACGAUGAUGACCUCCGUGAAACGGCUUAUGAAAUUCUGUUGGCUGCUGCUGGGGCUUUAUCUACCUAUCUGUACACACACACACAAUUUUAAUCUUGUAUUCUUGGUCAUUUUGCUGUGCUUGGUUCUUUUACAACCCUAGUGCUGCCAGUAUCUUUGGACUGUAAUGUAAUUGUUGUUCAAACAGGGGCCUUAUAGUGCCAUCAAAGGAAAAGAAAAAAGAAAAGAAAUCCAG
rnacentral:lncRNA from 1 species